GAAGGCACGAGAUUGUAAAUGUGUAAAUCACUUUCAGUAUCAGCCGAUGAUCGAUAACAGCAACUGUGAUACCAAAUCGCACUGAUAUCAAAGGCAGUUACAGGAUUGAACAAAGAUGCCGUAAAUUGGCUACCGACGAACGAUUUAAUUUUGCUGGACUGCGGCAGAAUCAUUGAAAAUUGGACUCCUCGGAUAGGCAGAGUUCUUUCAAAUAAACAAAAAAGUACCUCGGCCUCAGAUGGACCAAGCAAAGUGAAAGUUAAGAGGUUGCCUGCACGCAACACUCAUAUGAAAUAAUGAAGAACCGCCCUGAUGGGCAUACAUAGGAUUUAUGUGCAAAUAGAGGAAAUAUCAUAAAAUUCCAAUGGCAUUGCUGGGUUGCAUGCAAAGAACUGUAUAAAAGAGGGGCCCAUAUGAAAUAGAAAAUAUUGCAUAUCGCUUAACAAUAGUGCAAAGUCAGAAAGAGGCGCGGUUUCAUGGCAGUCACUAAUCGCGUGGGAAUACAUGCAUACAUAAUCCUA